UCCUAUUUACCAGGUAUUUUAUAAAUCAUAAAUAUCUUCAAGCACAUGAAAGUGGCAGCCAGCUUUAAAAGUAUCAUUGUUUAAUCAGGUUUUCAUACAAGAACAUGAAACUUUUUAUUAUGACAGAAUGAAAAUCAAAAGUGACAGACUGGGUGACUGGAAUUUCUGUGACUUUUUUAAUCCAAUAAAUGCCCAGCCUUCUAAUUCAGGAAGAGAAUUUGGCACCAGCUGGAAUCCUCAGACAGCAUUAGUAAACAAUAACAAAACGUCCCUCAAAUAAAAAUUUUAAAUCAUGAGUUUAGAAGAAACUUCCAUAAAAUGAAACACACAUACUGAAUUUAAAGAUUCAUAUGACUGAUCAGGUCAAAUCCUGUCACCUGGGAAACAGAAAGAAGAAAAGCAAUACUUAAAUCUGCUGAGGAUAUUUAAUUUCACAGACUCCAGGAGACUUCUAGAGAAUAGGGUGAAAUGCGACUUUACAUUUCACUGCUGAGAUUCAGAAUCCAGGUAAGCAAAUUGAUGUUCCUGCAUCAAUAACGUGAAACCAGUGUUCAACAAACCAAAAAACUUUGAAAAGGGGUGAAGAACCUUGGAACCUACAAGCUGCUUCCUACAAGCUGUUUCACUUAUAUUCUCUCCCUCCAAGAAAUAGCCUGAGGGAAAAGGAAAUUUCUAGUUCCACCCAGUAAAUCCACACACUAAACACGAUGGCAAAGUGGAAUAUAUUGCUAACUGUGCCCAUCAGGGUGAGCAAACUUUGUCGUGCAGCCCCUGAGGCAAAGCCCUACCUCUGACCCACCAUUUUCAGGCAAUAAAGCCUGAAGUUGCUGUACAUCAACUGCACUUGCUGAGGUCACAGAAAAAGGGUUCGACUAAGGCACAAUUGAGCAGAACGAGUUUGCUCGGGUGUUUGACACAUCUGGAGUUACAGUUCCACAGUCACAACACACCUGCUGCCUACAGCCUGGCUUCAGUGAAUGUCAGUAUGACUUCAAACACUUGCUAGAACUUUUCUUGAAUUCCAGAAGGUCCCAUAGAAACUUGUCACCAGAAAUGCCAAUGAAAAUCAGAAGCUCUAAGUGGCCAACUCUGGAGCACAGAUAUAAAAUGACUUUACUGGUCUGCUAUGAGAAAUCCAGGCUCUGCUGAGCAGGUAACAGGAAAUCAAUGGCAACCUCUGCUGGCUGGUUCUAGAUGCAGAUUAUUUUCAGAUUUCCAUUCAAGAAGAAUUGGAGAGUCUUCACAGAAAGAAAAAGGAAAUCGUAGACAAGUGACAACAAAGACCAAAAGAGCUUUCUGGAAUUACAUUUACAAACUCAUGAAAGAAAGGGGGCAUGGUUCAAAAAGGUACCUCAAUUCCUCUGCCAUACAGGUAGAGUAAUUACUAAAAAGUAAUUAGACUGCAAUGUUACAUUAACCUACCUAAGGCUGCCUCACCCAUGCAUGCUGUCCAGCCCCAGCACUUGCUCCCAUCUCACCCUGACACCACACAUGAACAGUGAAUCUCUGAGAGAAGUGGGGCAGAAGAAAAUUUUCUAAAUAAAAAUCCACAGUUACUGUGACCAGCCCUGCAAAUGCUACAUAAGGGUAUAAAAAAGAGAUGGAACAUGCAGUAAAAGAAACCUCUUUUGGGAAGCACGCUGUCUGAAACUGCAAUCCCCAUUAAUGACGAUUUAGCUUUAAUGCAGGCUGUAUCCUGUACUACCAAGUCAGAAAAAAGGAUGUAUUUCAAAACUGGAUUGCUUUGAAGACAAACCACCCUUCUGAAGACAGCUUUUUCAUAUGCAGGAUAUGAUUAAAAUAUGUGGCUCUCCAUAUCACCAGCAUUUGGCUGUCAGUUUAAAAAGCAACUGAUGAAAACCCUCAGCAAGAA